rnacentral:tRNA from 1 species
GGGAAGUUGGCUCAGUGGUAGAGCGCUUGCUUUGCAUGCAUGAGGCCUUGGGUUCGAUUCCCCAGCACCACA